rnacentral:rRNA from 1 species
CUAGCUAUACUGUUAGCUAUUGAGCAGUGGAGACCAUAUUUACAGUUCCAAGAGUUCAUUAUCAGGACAGAUCAAAAAAGUUUGGUGAAUCUUUCUGAUCAGAGACUGCAUACACCCUGGCAACAAAAAGCUCUCACAAAAAUGAUGGGAUUGAAUUAUAAGAUUGUUUACAAGAAGGGUAUUGAUAAUUCUGCAGCUGAUGCCCUUUCUAGGAGACCACAGUCAGAUUCUCAAGUGUUAGCAAUCUCUGGGGUUCAGCCUAGUUGGUUGGAAGAAGUGGUGGAAAGUUAUAAGGAUGACAUAAAGGCACAGGAAUUAUUGCAACAGUUGUCAGUGCAGCCUAAGUCCAAAAACAAUUUUCAAUUGUUGCAAGGUGUGCUGAGGUAUAAGGGUUGCAUUUGGGUAGGCAAUGACUGUGGUUUGCACACAAAAAUUUGCCAAGCUUUCCAUGACACUCCCUUGGGUGGUCAUUCUGGAUUUCCUGUCACCUACAAAAGAAUUAGGGCCCUGUUUAAAUGGGUGGGUAUGAAGAAAAAGAUACAACAAUUUGUGCAAUCUUGUCUCAUUUGCCAACAGGCCAAACCUGAGAGAGUGGCUUAUCCUGGGUUGCUAUCACCCCUGCCUGUUCCUGAAAAAGCUUGGGAGACAGUGACAAUGGAUUUUAUCUCAGGAUUGCCAUCUUCUGAUCAGUAUGAUUGCAUCAUGGUGGUCAUUGACAAAUUUACAAAAUAUGGUCAUUUUAUACCUGUCAAGCAUCCAUAUACAGCCCAGAAAAUUGCUGAACUUUUUCUGGACAAUAUUUAUAAGCUUCAUGGCAUGCCUCUCUUCAUAGUAUCUGACAGGGAUCCAGUGUUCACCAGCAAAUUCUGGCAAGCUCUAGUGAAGAGGACAGGAGCUGUACUUAAUAUGAGCACAUCAUAUCAUCCUGAAACAGAUGGACAGACAGAACGUGUUAAUCAGCAAGUGGAAUGUUUUUUGAGGUGUUUCAUCGGUGCUCAUCCAAACAAGUGGGCAAAGUGGCUUUCACUUUGUGAGUUUUGGUACAAUACCAACUGGCAUUCAGCACUUAACAAAUCGCCGUUUGAGGUUCUUUAUGGUCAUGGUCCUCGGCAUUUUGGGAUUUCGACUUCAGACUCAAUUGAUCCUGUUGAUUUGCAGCAGUGGUUGGAUGCUCGAGUAGUGGUUCAGCAGUCAGUGCGCCAGCAUUUGUUGCGUGUUCAGCAAAGGAUGAAACAUCAAGCUGACAAGAAACGCACUGAAAGAACAUUUACUGUGGGAGAUCGAGUAUUCCUUAAACUCCAGCCGUAUGUACAAUCAUCAGUGGUGCACAGGGCAAAUCAUAAACUUGCUUUCAAGUAUUUUGGUCCGUUUCUGAUUCUGGAGAAGAUUGGCGAAGUGGCUUAUCGCUUACAGUUGCCAGCAGCUAGUCGUAUUCAUCCUGUAUUCCAUGUUUCACAGUUGAAGCGCUGUGUGCAUCCACAACAUGAGGUACUCAAGUCGCUUCCUUCUGUU